AUUUGAAUGUAUAUAUGUAAGGUAUACAACAUGAUGUUUUAAGAUAUAGCUAUAGAUAGUAAAAUUAUUACCAUAGUGAUGCAAAUUAAUUUGUUCAUGUUACCUAGUUACCCAUUAUUUUUCUUUCCUUGAUAUAUAAUAUUUUACAUAUUUAUGGGGUAUAUGUGAGUGUUUGUUGCAGGGAUAGAAUAUGUAAUGGUCCCAUUGUUACUGCAAUACCAAGGGUUUGGUCUAGGCCCUACUGCUCACUGCACAGAAAGCCAAUCACUGAGAUGAUGAGUACUGCCAAGGAAGAAGGCUUUAACUUGGUGCUGCAGCCAAGGAGAUGGGAGCUCAGUCUCCAAUUCAUCUCCCUGACUGACUAACUAUGGGUUUAUAUAGCAGGGAAGAAAUGUAACCAUGCAUAAGAAAACAGGAACUAAGGAGGGGCAAGGAAGCCAUCAUCAUGAAUGAGAAGUCUGACAACUGGUGCUGUGAUCUGCUAAUUACCAAGAGCACUUUAAGCACACUGGUGGAUUUAAACAAUGUGAAUAAGUAAGAUUGUGAUUUGGCUUUGACAAAGGCAGAGUCAAGCUGGCUUUGUCAUGUAAAGGGCCUGAGACGGCCACAUGGUAUGUUUAAUUGAUAAAUCAAACUUAAGAAGUAACACUUUUGGUGGAACCACAAACGGAAAAGAGUCUUGGGUCCUGAAUCAUGGUUUGGAGAAGACCUUUAUGCCUAUUAGGAGCCAAAAGCCUAAAACUCUAAACUUAAAACACAAGCAAUAGAAUGUUGAUUCUGUCCUGUCUGCAGUAUACAGGAUUAGCUUUUUCUGUUAAGAUAAAACUAGGAAAUAAAGUUGUGUGUGGAAGCAAUAAAAAUCUGAACUAUUCCUACAUGUAAUUCUAGAAAUUUAUAGGUGCUACAUUUUUUGAAAAUUUUAAUGACAUAUAUAAGAAGGAAAAUCAAAUUAAAAAUUCAAGUUGAUGUUAUCUUUAAAAAAAAGUAAUAGUUCAUCCUGUUCAUUCAUAAUCUAAAUUAGGUAAAAACCAGUGAUAAAAUAUUGUGUGUUAUUUUAAAAUAUAUGUAUAUCUACACAAACGAUAUUAUAUAUACAAAUACUCGUACUCAUGUACACACCCUAUCAUUAAUAAAGCAUCAUUGUUUAAUUUUAGGAAAAAAAUAACUACAAUUGGGAAUAAAAUUGAUUGCCCUAUUACAUCCAAAAGUCACCAUUCAUUGAUUAUUUUUUCACUUGUGAUUUAUUUUCCCUCAUGUUUCAUUUUCGGAACUUGUGUUUUCCCUUGAAAUACAAGAAUGCUUACUUUAUAAAAAUACACUGUGAUCCUAAUUCUUAGAUGUCAGUUAUUUUAGGUGGUUUAUAGCUCAACCUUUAAAGAGGUGCAGAAAUGCUAAGAGGAUUUGAGUUUUGAUCGUUGACAUUUUACCAAAUAGAAGUAGAAUUGGAGUGGAACCAAAUGGGGUUGGAGAUAGGAGCAGUACAAUUCAACAGCAGAGGUAUAGUGCAUCUAGGCCUGACUUCAUGUCAGCCCUUUCAUUAAGUAGACCUGUAAUGUCAGGUACACCACUUAACCUCUCUAAGCUUAAGUCUCCUCAUCUCUACACAGAGGGGAUAUUGCCAGUUGGGUUUCCUGGGAAGAUGACUUUGAGACGGAGAUCGGCAUCCAGCCUGUUAAUUAUGGAAUGUUCUUGGGAUCAACACCUAUGGGAGGGAGGGAACAGAAGCAGGAUUUGGCUGUGAUGCAGUCCUAAUGGAAUUAAAUAAAGUCCUUAGGAAAAUAAUUUUCUUCCUACUAAAGCAAUAAAAACUUGUUUGAUAUUAGGAUUUAUAAUGGCUUAUAAUGGAACUGUUGGCUUCACUCUGUUAGGGGCAAUACCUGUGCCAAGAAGAAUCUCUGAGUGGAAACUGUUGCUUUAAUUUAUAUUAUUGUAGCAACAUUAUUGUAAAAUUACCUUUUAAAUUGAGAAAAAAUUUUAAUUAAAAUUAAUCUUAUAAAAUGUAAAAGAAAAUAUUCAAUUGGCAUCUUGUCAAUCGAGAUUAUUUUAAAAUAGUAAUUAUUAUUGAAAAUGUAUUUUUCUGCAAAUGACCUCAACUUCUGUUACAAAUUAAAAUGAGCUUAUACCUACAUUUUACCAGACGCUUCAGUUUGUACUAUGAAAAACCAAAUUAUCUUUUCUCCACUGACA
rnacentral:lncRNA from 10 species